rnacentral:rRNA from 1 species
UACGUAGGGUGCGAGCGUUGUCCGGAAUCACUGGGUGUAAAGGGAGCGCAGGCGGGUCGGCAAGUCCUUGGUGAAAUCCGGAGGCUUAACCUCAGGACUGCCAAUGAUACUGCUGAUCUUGAGUGCAGAAGAGGAAGACGGAAUUCCUGGUGUAGCGGUGAAAUGCGUAGAUAUCAGGAAGAACACCGGUGGCGAAGGCGGUCUUCUGGUCUGUAACUGACGCUCAUGCUCGAAAGCGUGGGGAGCAAAC